rnacentral:lncRNA from 1 species
AGCCUGUUACCACCUCUGUUUAAUUGAAGAGCCUCUACCACCGCAAGAAGAGCUGUUUAAAACAAAACAAAAUGGAUACUAUUUGCAAAUUCUUAGCUGGAUUAAAUAAAGAUUUCUCUAUUCUGUGCAACCCAGAAGUAAACUGGGGUUGAUACACACACAUUUUCAUCCAUAACCUUGGUUUAAAAUGCUUCCUAUUUGCUGGAAUAGUUUUCAAUGCUUUUACUGAUUUCCUUUGAAAAAUAUUUGAACUCAUAAAAUAUAUUCAUAAAAUACUUUUAUCUAUUUUGUAUAGUGGGAAUCCAAUGUAAAAUUUUGUCCCAUAAAUUUGAAAACUGCUGGUGUAGUACAAAAGGCAUGGAUGUUGGAAUGAAGGCUGGAGCCAAAUCCUGGCUCGCCCCCUUACUAGUCACAUAGCAAAUCCUGGCUCACCCCUCACUAGUCACAUAUCAAAUCCUGUCUCACCCCUCACUAGUCACAUAUCAAAUCCUGUCUCACCCCCUUACUAGUCACAUAUCAAAUCCUGGCUCACCCCCUUACUAGUCACAUAUCAAAUCCUGGCUCACUCGUCACUAGUCACAUAUCAAAUCCUGGCUGGCUCACCCCUUACUAGCCACAUAUCAAAUCCUGGCUGACCCCUCCACUAGGCACAUACCGAAUCCUGGCUCACCCCUCAUUAGUCACAUAUUGAAUCCCAGCUCACCCCUUACUAGUCACAUGUCAAAUCCUGGCUCACCCCUCACUAGUCACAUAUCAAAUCCUGGCUGACCCCCUUACUAGUCACGUAUCGAAUCCUGGCUGACCCCCUGACUAGUCACAUAUCAAAUCCUGGCUCGCCCCUCAGUAGCCACAUAUCAAAUCCUGGCUCACUCCUCACUACUCACAUAUCGAAUCCUGGCUCACCCCUCACUAGCCACAUAUCAAAUCCUGGCUCGCCCCCUUACUAGUCACGUAUCGAAUCCUGGCUCGUCACGUAUCGAAUCCUGGCUCACCCCUCACUGGUCACGUAUGGAAUCCUGGCUCGCCCCUCACUGGUCACGUAUCGAAUCCUGGCUCGCCCCUCACUGGUCACGUAUCGAAUCCUGGCUCGCCCCUCACUGGUCACGUAUCGAAUCCUGGCUCGCCCCUCACUGGUCACGUAUCGAAUCCUGGCUGACCCCUUACUGGUCACGUAUCGAAUCCUGGCUCGCCCCUCACUUGUCACGUAUCGAAUCCUGGCUCACCCCCUUACUAGUCACAUAUCAAAUCCUGGUUCGCCCACUUACUAGUCACAUAUCGAAUCCUGGCUCGCCCCUCACUAGCCACAUAUCAAAUCCUGUCUGGCUCACCCCUCACUAGCCACAUAUCAAAUCCUGGCUCACCCCUCACUAGCCACAUAUCAAAUCCUGGCUCACCCCUCACUAGUCACAUAUCAAAUCGUGGCUCAUCCCUCACUAGUCACAUAUCAAAUCCUGGCUCACCCCUCACUAGUCACAUAUCAAAUCCUGUCUCAUCCCUCACUAGUCACAUAUCAAAUCUUGGCUAACCCCUUACUAGUCACAUCGAAUCCUGGCUCGCCCCCUUACUAGUCACAUACCAAAUCCUGGCUCGUCCCCUUACUAGUCACAUACCAAAUCCUGGCUGACCCCUUACGAGUCACAUAUCGAAUCCUGGCUCACCCCUCACUAGUCACAUAUCAAAUCCUGGCUUGUCCCCUUGCUAGUCACGUAUCAAAUCCUGGCCGACCCCUUACUAGUCCCAUAUGAAAUCCUGGCUGACCCCUCACUAGUCACAUAUCAAAUCCUGGCUUGUCCCCUUGCUAGUCACAUAUCAAAUCCUGGCCGACCCCUUACUAGUCCCGUAUCAAAUCCUGGCUGACCCCUUACUAGUCACACAUUGAAUCCUGGCUCACCCCUCACUAGGCACAUAUCCUUGGGCCUGUCACUUACCCUCUUUGAGCCUCCAAGUCCCAUCCACUAAACGGAGCUCAACUUAGCAGGAAUUUCAUCCGAUGAGAUAAUGUAUCCAGGACACAGUAAAUACGCAGUUACCUUUUCCUUCCCACCCCACCAACAAAUACAGAUAGCACUGAAUCGCCCAGGCCCUCUCAUGACCUAAGAUACCACAUGCAGGCCACACGGCAGCUGGGCUGUGCAGCCAGGGCCCAGGGCUACCCCAACUAACCUCCACUCCCCUCAGCACCCUCCUCUGACCUCCGAGCUAGCCAGCUGCUGAUCCAAAGCUCUGGAUCCUUUAGGGCCGUGCAAAGAUGUGACAGACAUGGGUAUGAGGCUGUGGGGGACUCUGUGUGUAAACUGAUGUUUCUUUAUAUAGCAUUUGAUAUUGGGUGUGGGUAUGAGGUUGUGGGGGGCUCUGUGUGUAAACUGAUGUUUCUUUAUACAGCAUUUGAUAUUGGGUGUGGGUAUGAGGCUGUGGGGGACUCUGUGUGUAAACUGAUGUUUCUUUAUAUAGCAUUUGAUAUUGGGUGUGGGUAUGAGGCUGUGGGGGACUCUGUGUGUAAACUGAUGUUUCUUUGUACAGCAUUUGAUAUUGGGUGUGGGUAGGAGGCUGUGGGGGGCUCUACGUGUAAACAGAUGUUUUCUUCAUAGAGCAUUUGAUAUUGGGUGUGGGUAUGAGGCUGUGGGGGACUCUAUGUGUAAAUGGAUGUUUCUUUAUAUAGCAUUUGAUAUUGGGUGUGGGUAUGAGGCUGUGGGGGACUCUAUGUGUAAACAGAUGUUUUCUUUAUAUAGCAUUUGAUAUGUAUUCCAUUUGCCUUCUAAAGCCCUCCAGCGGCUGCUCCAGUCGGUCCACUGCAGCGCUUGAUUUUGUGAAGAACCCUGUGGAAUGUGGUCUCUGGCAGCUGAGAAGUGCCUUCCUUUUCCAUCAGCACAAAGCAAACACAUGAAGGGAGCUGGGGUUUCUUGCCACCAUUUCACCUGAGACCCCUGAAAGCUGCAGCCCACUCUGCAAAUACUUUUCUUGGCCCUGGAAGUAGAGGGAAGUUUGCUGAGAAGCUGUUCUUAAUUUCUCACUUGUUGAAAAAUUACCCAAAACAGGAGGCAAGACAAUUGUGCAAAUUCCAUUUGAUGACUGAGCAGAAGCUCCCAGAGCCCUCGGAUGAAGUGAGCAGCAUUCCCAGGAGGCGGGACGUUGGACGCUAUUUUUAUUUUAACAUCUCAUAUUGCCCCAGGUUCUCUGAGUCAACACCCUCAAAGGGGACAGACAGAAACAGAAAGGAACUUUUGGGCUGAUUAUAAGGAUUCAGCUGGCCUUGGGAAAAGUCUAAACAUCUUUGAAACACAAUUGGAAAGUAAUCCAAACAGCCUGUGAGUUCAGGCUUCCCAGUUAGAACUGCCUGUCCCAAGUUAAUCUUGCUUAGUUUUUUUGGGCAUCAUACCUAAAGAAGAAGAAGAAGAAAAGGCAAGAAUAAGUAAAAGGAAAAAAAAGAAAAAGAAAGGCAGGCAAGAAUUUUUGUCCCUGCCGGGAGAAGAGUCUGGUCUGUGGACACCAGACACCUAAGCAAGUUUUUUGGAAGGGAGGCUUUGGCAACUCUCGCAAUUCGCAUUCACAGGAGACGUGCCCUGUUUUCCACAACAGGCAGCCUCGCCACCAGCCCCAGGAGGCAGGAAGCUCUCUUCUCAGUGUCUGCAGGUUUAUCCCUAAAUGCUACGGAAGCAACAGCUGCCAGGGGAAGGGGAUACUGCUCAGUCUUUUAAAAUUCUCGUGUAAGCUCGAUAUUACAGUCAUGACCUAAAAAGGCAAAGACCAGAUAUGCUGAGCUCGCUGCGGAUGUAGCCUGCACACGGCCGCAGGAUUUGUCACCACUCAGCCAUGUUUAAAAAAGCCAGUCCAGGCAAGACAGCCACAGGCUCCCGCCCACAAGUGAUCACGAACACACUUCACACUGCCUUAUGGCAGAGCAAGUGCAUAUAGCCCGGUCUUGUGUGACCUUCACAGCCAAUAUUCAUUAUAAUCCCCUCUCACCAAUAUUGAAAAUGGAUGCUCAGGGGAUCAGUGACUCGCCUGGUGUCAAAGUGCCAGGUCCAAAUCAAGACCUGCAGAUCAAGUCUUCUGUGGACGCUUCCAAUCCCAGGCUGCUUUCAUUUCUGAUGGACACGUCCUUCAUGUCCCACAGAUCCAUGGAUCGCCGGCAUCUUCCCUCCUGUUCACAUAGGUGAGAAGGAAGGAGCUGGCAGGCAAUGCCCUUCCAGGUGGGCUACAGGGAAGGCUCUUUUCUCAUUAGGUUGAUCCCUUGGCUUCCCUAGUAAAGUGGGGAGCUGUUGAAAAGAAAGAAUGGAAACGAGGUAAUGAUCCUGGAGCCUAAUGGAAGGGCCGCAGCCAGUUUUCCCCUGUUGAAAGGACACAGGACUUCCCAAAGAGUUUUCAUGGCAAAAACGUCCAACCAGCUACUAAGGAAACAGGAUGGACUCAUGCGUGCAGGAGAGAAAUCACUAAAGGACACAAGACUUCCCAAAGAGUUUUCAUGGCAAAACGUCCAUCCAGCUACUAAGGAAACAGGAUAGACUCAUGCGUGCAGGAGAGAAAUCACUUGGCCGUCACUGGAAGAGCAGGCUGUGAUGGGAACGGUAAGGACAGAGAAGGGAACGUUCACAGGAUAGAAAUUCACAGGGCAAGUAGGGUUCCAAGUCAGAAGCAAAACGCUUUACACAACAUUACAGACAGGCUCCACUGCAACUGGACAGGUCAGGACUGGGCUCAGUCGGCCACAUUCUGCUCCCACGCGUUGCUUCCUUAGACUGUCAGGGAAGGGAGAAGGGCAGCCACCGGGAGCGGCCAGGGUCACGGGCUUGCUAAUUCUUUCCUAGAGUCUGUUCUGUUUUCUGUCAGCAGUAAGGAAAUACAUUCUAGCAAAUGACAUCCAGUAAUGCUUUAAUUAACUGCAGUAUUUUGUGCUCCAACAUGCAGGCAGAAAUCACUUCCAGAUGGAGAAAAUGAAAGCUAUUUACACAAAGAAGCAAUCCCUUUAUUUUAAGGAAAUUUAUAUCUCCCAAAGGUGUAGAACUUCGAGGGUCCAAGAGGCUAUUCUGAUGAAUACUAAAACAGGACUGGGAAUUUUUAUUUAAUAUAUAAAAUGUCAUCGUACCCUUCAUGUAGGCCAGCAUUUCAGGUGUCCAUGUUUCUAAGGCUUUUGCUUAAAUUGCCCAUUGCAGCUCUAUUUUAUUUUUAGGAAUCUGACUUGGAGUAGACGAGAAGUGUGAGACACUUGCUGUCACCCUCAAGCAGGCAGGUUGUUCUGAGUGCUCUUCCUAGGGAAGGAAUCCCGUUUCCAGCAGGUUAUUCCGAGUGCUCUUCCUAGGGAAGGAAUCCCGUUUCCAGCAGGUUAUUCCGAGUGCUCUUCCUAGGGAAGGAAUCCCAGUCACCCUCAAGCAGGCAGGUUGUGGCAGGUUGUUCUGAGUGCUCUUCCUAGGGAAGGAACCCCAUUUCCAGCAGGUUAUUCCGAGUGCUCUUCCUAGGGAAGGAACCCCAUUUCCAGCAGGUUAUUCUGAGUGCUCUUCCUAGAGAAGGAAUCCCAUUUCCAGCAGGUUAUUCCGAGUGCUCUUCCUAGGGAAGGAAUCUCAUUUCCAGCAGGUUAUUCCGAGUGCUCUUCCUAGCAAAGGAAUCCCAUUUCCAGCAGGUUAUUCUGAGUGCUCUUCCUAGCGAAGGAAUCCCAUUUCCAGCAGGUUAUUCCAAGUGCUCUUCCUAGGGAAGGAAUCCCAGUCACCCUCAAGCAGGCAGGUUGUGGCAGGUUGUUCUGAGUGCUCUUCCUAGGGAAGGAACCCCAUUUCCAGCAGGUUAUUCUGAGUGCUCGUCCUAGGGAAGGAACCCCAUUUCCAGCAGGUUAUUCCGAGUGCUCUUCCUAGGGAAGGAAUCCCAUUUCCAGCAGGUUAUUCCGAGUGCUCUUCCUAGGGAAGGAAUCUCAUUUCCACAGGUUAUUCCGAGUGCUCUUCCUAGGGAAGGAACCCCAUUUCCAGCAGGUUAUUCUGAGUGCUCUUCCUAGCGAAGGAAUCCCAUUUCCAGCAGGUUAUUCCAAGUGCUCUUCCUAGCGAAGGAAUCCCAUUUCCAGCAGGUUAUUCCGAGUGCUCUUCCUACGAAGGAAUCCCAUUUCCAGCAGGUUAUUCCGAGUGCUCUUCCUAGGGAAGGAACCCCAUUUCCAGUAGGUUAUUCCGAGUGCUCUUCCUAGGGAAGGAACCCCAUUUCCAGUAGGUUAUUCCGAGUGCUCUUCCUAGGGAAGGAACCCCAUUUCCAGUAGGUUAUUCCGAGUGCUCUUCCUAGGGAAGGAACCCCAUUUCCAGCUGUGCACAUGCAGCAUUUCCCCUGGCAUUCUUUCAACAGGGAACCAGAUCUCCUCAUCCGAUGGCAACUCAGGAAGGGUUGGUGUCAUACCCUGCAUCGAGCAGCAGCCUCGGACCUGCCCCCACGCUCUGCGUGCCCUGUACUGGUCAUGCUGGUCUCAGCUUGUCUGCUCUCAGUCCUGUCUGAUCUGCACAGAGAAGCCACCCUAGACAUAAGAAAUCAGGCACCCCUUCUCGGGGGUGGGCAGAGCCCUGGGUACUGGCUCUUUGUUCUUCGAGAGAGGAAGGAGUGGCGGUAGUUAGCUUCAAUCCCUGAGCUGGGUUUGGAGAUCAGAACACCUUGUCCAUUGCGGCUCCUGUUUCAUUGUUAAGAGUCCACACAGGAUGUUCUCUGGCCUGGACACCGCUAAGCCAGCUUUCAGACAAGUCCCCUCAGUAAGAGCAGAGUGAACUCUUUAUUGAUUAUACAAAUUACCACUAUUUAUUUUAAACCCAAAGUGACUUCAAAGUUGUUUUUUGGUUUUUAAAAGGGCUAGAGAAAAUGGACUGAGGGGAAGGAAUGGGCACAAUAUCUAGGUUUAGCUGAAUCACAGAGCUGUUAGCUGCUGCUUUCAUCCACAGGUACUCCUUUUACAUUAUUAUUUUUUAGAGAGUCUUGCUCCGUCACCCAGGCAGGAGUGCAAUGGCAUGAUCUCGGCUCACUGCAGCCUCUGCCUCCUGGGUUCAAGCGAUCCUCCUGCCUCAGCCUCCUGAGUAGCUGGGAUUACAGGCGCCCACCACCACACCUGGCUAAUUUUGUAUUUUUAGUAAAGACAGGGUUUCACCAUGUCGGCCAGGCUGGUCUCGAACUCCUGACCUCACAUGAUCCACCUGCCUCGGCCUCCCAAAGUGCUGGGAUUACAGGUGUGAGCCACCAUGCCCAGCCUAUUUUUUAAUAGAGAUGGGGUCUCACUCUGUUGCCCAGGCUUGUCUUGAAGUCCUGGGCUCAAGCAAUCUUCCCACCUCAGCCUCUCCAAGCACUGGCAUUACAGGUGUGAUGCCACAGUACCCGGCCUAGGGUGCCCCUUUGAUACGUUAUUUUUGAAGUGAUGUUAAUAAAUAAAGCUUCUGCUUGGGGGUUGGUCAUCAAAACAAGAAGAAUCCUCAUCAGUAUGGAGAGAGCCCAAUUCUGGGCAUGGUCCCCACCACCACCAAAAGUUUUUUUUUUUUUAACUGAGUCUCACUCUGUCUCCCAGGCUGGAGUGCAGUGGCGGGACCUCGGCUCACUGCAACCUCUGCCUCCCAGAUUCAACUGAUUCCCCUGCCUCAGCCUCCCAAGUAGCUGGGAUUACAGGCACCCGCCACCUGUUUUUUGUUUUUUGUUUUUUUUUUUUUUUUGUAUUUUUAGUAGAGAUGGGAUUUUGCCAUGUUGGCUAGGCUGGUCUCAAACUCCUGACCUCACGUGAUCCGCCCACCUCGGCCUCCCAAAGUGCUGGGAUUACAGGCGUGAGCCACCGCGCCUGACCCAACACAAGUUUAAAAUGAAAGCUGUUAUCAGUAGAGAAUCUUCACCACGUUGGCACCAGCUCAAGUGUAGUGUCUGCGCACUUUUAGCUUAGAGUCAGAAAAAGAGACAUGUAUGAAAAUGUGUGGCAGGAGCCCUUCCAUAAAGCAAAUCUCUCUGUUGCAAUGGUUCUUAACAAGGUGUAAACGUUAUAACUACCUAUGGAACUUUUAAACCUGUAUGCCAGGCCCCAUCCAAACUUACUGACUCAAAAUCUCCGGGCAUCUGUUUUUUUGUUUGUUUGUUUGUUUGUUUUGAGAUAGAGUCUCACUCUGUCACCAGGGUGGAGUGCAGUGGCGUGAUCUCGGCUCACUGCAAUCUUUGCCUCCCGGGUUCAAGUGAUUCUCCUGCCUCAGCCUCCCAAGUAGCUGGGAGGUGUACACGCCACCACAGCCCGGUAAUUUUUGUAUUUUUUGUAGAGAUGGGGUUUCACCAUAUUGGCAAGGAUGGUCUCAAUUUC